CCUCGCCUCGUCCCACUCCCACUCCCAUUCUAGCCGCCAGACGAACCCUAGCCCCCUUGCCCAAUGCCCCCGAUCCCCAAAGCCGCCGCACGGCCUCGCUCCUCCUUCCCUCCCGCCGCACCCUUUCCUUGAUCGCAGCUGCCUCCUUCCCACCUCCGCCCGAGCUCCGCCUCCUCCUCCUUGCCAUCGGCGGAAGCCUCAAGCCCCGGCAUCACCGCCACCAGAUCCACCUCGCAACCUCUCUUCCUCCCCUGUCUGACUGCUGCGUGGUCGCGUCGGGCCCAUGCCGGGGCCGCCGCCACCGCUGCAGUCGCCGCCGCUGGAUGGCUCCGUCGGUCCCUCCCGCUCCAGAUCGAAAACUGAGAGAGCGACGGGAGGGAAGAAGGGGAUCGGGGGAGCCGCCGAGGCUGGGCAACUCGCUCCCAGGGAGCUCCCCUGCUUCGGGAGGGAAGGAUGAAAUCGGGGGAGCUCCCUGCAGCCUCUCCCUGACCCACGCCACCGGCCCUAUCUCUCUGCUCACCUCCUCCUCUCCUAUUCCCUGCCGUCAUGGUUCCGGAUCGGGGCUUGGGCCAUCGUCGUGGGGGAGCAGGGACGGCGGGGUCUUCACAGUGGAGGUGGAGCUGUAGGGGAGGGGAGGAUGCCAACGACAAGGGAAAGGAGGAGGCCGAAGAGGACGGCAAUGGGGAGGCCGGCAGGGAAGGAGCAGGGAGAGGGCUUCUGCUUCUUCCAGCGGGCCAUGGCACCCGAGUUCAUCGUCAUCGUGUCCCUUGAGUUGAGCCCCCGUCGCCCCCCACUCCUCUCACUUUCUCGCGACAUCUCGCUGUCGAUCGCCACCCCAUUUCAAAAAUUCAGAGAGAGAUGCUGCGCGGCUCCCUCUGGCGGCUCCUGGCCGUGGCCGUGGCCGUGCCGGCGGCGACGCGGGCGGUGGCCGCCCUGAAGGCCGGUCGGAGCCUGCACCGGGACUUCGACGACGGCCGGGUGGUGGAGCUGGCGCUGGACCGGGAGACGGGGUCCAGGCUGGAGUCCAAGGACCGGUACCUCUUCGGGCGGUUCGAUCUCGACAUCAGGCUCGUCGCCGACGAGUCCGCCGGGACCAUCACUUCCUUCUAUGUAAGUGUACAUGGAUCCGGAGGAGUAUGAACGAAUGUACUAUAUCACUCUUGUCAUUUUGGUGGAUCUCGGGCUGCUUCCAUGAUCUGGCUUUACUGUUUCGUUUCCCCACCAGGCACGUCAGGUCCCCCUCAAAACAGCCUAUUGUUCCAUUUUCAGCAGGAGCAACAGCAGCAGCCAGCAACUGAAUUAAUUUUGUAGGUGGUGUGAUCGGCCAGCAUGUGGCGCUCCCUUUUCAGCUGUGGUCCAGUUGUAGUACUGCGUAUUUAUUUAUCGGACCCAACCCGACCCCAAGGACCAUGGCUGAACGCAGCCUGGGUGUGAUGGUUUUUCAGGCUUUUGGUCUCUGUCUAUCUCUUCUUGUCGUCAUCAAAGGCUGAAGGGUGGUACGUAGUACAUGCAGAUGGGAAUGUGAGUGUUGCGGUUGGACAGGGGAUGAGGAGAACGAGUCUCCCUUGCGGAUUAGUGGUUGGUGCAUGAUGCUGGAUUGGUUGGCUGGUUGGGCUUGGUCCUUGGUGUGUUAGUUGAUUAAUCAUAGGCUGGUGGUUUGAGGUUGUCUGCAUCUGAUUGUUCAGUCAGUUGUUGAAUUUAUAGUUGCCAGGCAUAUGGGUAAGAUUCUGUGCACAUUUUUUUCAUGUAUUUUGUUGAGAGGAAGUAUCCUUUAGAAAACAGAGAGGUUGAAAAAAGACAUUCUUUUAAGAAGUGAAGAUACGGCUGCUUUUAGUAAGCUUUAGAUAUGGCUGCUUUUAGUAAGCUUUUUAUCGGUUAUACUGAACUGUGUUCUAAAACUAUUGUCACAAUCCUGAAUUCUGAUCCUUCAUUCCUCUCGGACCAUGUCUAAAAUAAACCAAACCUCUGUGUUUACAUUUUUUGGUAAAAAUAAUUUCUUGCCUAUUGCAAUUAGGUAUAGAUUAAAACUUUUCAGUGCGAGAGUUCAGGCAUCACUAUGGUGCCAUACUGACCAAUGCAACAAGAUGUAUACUUCCAGUUCGGGGAACAUGCAUUUUGUAGGGAGUACAGUAUUGCUUGCACAUAUUCAGACUUGCCGCUGGUAGAACUGAUAUAUUAGUAGGUCACUAGCCCAAAAUAUAGUUAUAAUGAUGAACCUUUCAGCUUAAUGUUUAUGUCUUGCAGAUCAUUAUUUGAAUAUUUUCUUUUGUAUAUGUAGACACAAAAACAAAAUGUAUAGGUUAGUUUGAUGUGUUACAGGAGGGAAGCAGCGGAUGCGAGCCAGGAGGCGGAUCGGCUCGACCCAGCCAUGGAGCUGCCGCUGCGGACUCCCUGCCGGCCUCCUUCGUCUUCAUGUGGAUUUGCAUGGCAAGUGAUGUUGCGUUGCCAAUGACACAUCUAGAAUUGCUGUUCGUGACUCCUGUAGAUGUUCCUGAAUUUUUCUUUGUAGUGGUUGGGUGCUGCCAUAAAACCUGUAACAGCAGCAAGAUGCAGUUCUCGGCAAAUCGCUUUUAGAUCUGAGAAAGAAGAUGAACAGGAGAAUCCAAUAGAAGAAUUUGGUGAAGAACAAGCAUACAGGAAAAGAAUACAAUCAUAAGGCUGAUGCUGCUUAUCAACAUCCUUGUACACAAUACCCCAGAAGGAUUUGUAGGUAGCCUUUUCGAAGUGAAUUUUACAUAUCUUUGCCAAGCAAGAGGUUUGACAAGAUCUCUAUCACCCAUGGAAACACCACCAGAAGUAAGGAUUAUAUCAGCAUCAGAACAUAGAGCUGCAUCCAUAUGCUCCACAAGACUUCCUUCGGGUUGCGGAUGGAGGAGUACGUUAUUUCGACGGUCCUCUAUUUUACUGUUGCGUGUGCCUUCAGGUCCAUCAGUCUGUUAUUGCCGUUAUCUUCUUGAGAGUACUUGAGAAGGCGUGGCUGGGAAUGUGGGGACACGCCAUGGUAGAGGCGCGUGGUCGGCAAGAGGAGUCAGGGAGGCAUGAAGGUGGACAUGUGGAUGUUAUCGUGGCAUUGACACAUUUCGCUCCAUGGAUGCUACAUACCAGGGAUUCAUUGGAAGCCACACAGGGCACCCGAGAAGGAGAGGAGAAUGCGCUGAAGAGAGGAAAUGAUAAGUUUCAUUGUUUUGUUUUAAGAGCAAGGGAGUUGAUAUGUAGUCCCCUGGCUUAUUUGUAUUCUACUAUGUGUAUGGCCAAAGAAAUCAUGAUUUUAUACACACAUAUAUUUUUAAACAAACCUAUGUAUUUUUUGCUCAAACAGUCACCCGGAAGUGCACAUAUUUUCAAUGCGUAAUGGGUCUUUGUGAA